rnacentral:rRNA from 1 species
UACGUAGGUGGCAAGCGUUGUCCGGAAUUAUUGGGCGUAAAGCGCGCGCAGGCGGUCCUUUAAGUCUGAUGUGAAGCCACGGCUCAACCGUGGAGGUCAUUGGAACUGGGACUUGAGUACAGAAGAGAAGAGUGGAAUUCCACGUGUAGCGGUGAAUGCGUAGAGAUGUGAGACACAGUGCGAGCGACUCUUUUUUGUCUGUAACUGACGCUGAGCGCGAAAAAAGCGUGGGGGGAGCAAAAAACAG